rnacentral:rRNA from 1 species
GAGUACGGCCGCAAGGUUAAAACUCAAAUGAAUUGACGGGGGCCCGCACAAGCGGUGGAGCAUGUGGUUUAAUUCGAUGCAACGCGAAGAACCUUACCUGGUCUUGACAUCCACGGAAGUUUUCAGAGAUGAGAAUGUGCCUUCGGGAACCGUGAGACAGGUGCUGCAUGGCUGUCGUCAGCUCGUGUUGUGAAAUGUUGGGUUAAGUCCCGCAACGAGCGCAACCCUUAUCCUUUGUUGCCAGCGGUCCGGCCGGGAACUCAAAGGAGACUGCCAGUGAUAAACUGGAGGAAGGUGGGGAUGACGUCAAGUCAUCAUGGCCCUUACGACCAGGGCUACACACGUGCUACAAUGGCGCAUACAAAGAGAAGCGACCUCGCGAGAGCAAGCGGACCUCAUAAAGUGCGUCGUAGUCCGGAUUGGAGUCUGCAACUCGACUCCAUGAAGUCGGAAUCGCUAGUAAUCGUGGAUCAGAAUGCCACGGUGAAUACGUUCCCGGGCCUUGUACACACCGCCCGUCACACCAUGGGAGUGGGUUGCAAAAGAAGUAGGUAGCUUAACCUUCGGGAGGGCGCUUACCACUUUGUGAUUCAUGACUGGGGUGAAGUCGUAACAAGGUAACCGUAGGGGAACCUGCGGUUGGAUCACCUCCUUA